UACGUAGGGGGCUAGCGUUGUCCGGAUUUAUUGGGCGUAAAGAGCGUGUAGGCGGCCAGGUAGGUCUGCUGUGAAAACUCGAGGCUCAACCUCGAGACGUCGGCGGAAACCAUCUGGCUAGAGUCCGGAAGAGGAGAAUGGAAUUCCUGGUGUAGCGGUGAAAUGCGUAGAUAUCAGGAGGAAUACCGGUGGUGUAGACGGCUCUCUGGACCGCCACUGACGCUGAGACACGAAAGCGUGGGUAGCAAACAGG
rnacentral:rRNA from 1 species